rnacentral:lncRNA from 1 species
AUAAAAAGCCACAGAGCCCCCUGGAGAUGAUGGCCUAAUUGGACUCGAUGACCAGGGCUUCCUGCAAAGCUGUCUGCUGCCUGAGGAGUUCAGUGACUCUCUCAGAGUCCCAUGGAGCAAAAGAGGCCACCUACCUCCCACAUUCCUGGACCCUCCGGCGGGCUGGUGGAGUCAAGACGGAGAAAUGACAGCGCUGGUGACUGGAACCGCGAUGGAGCAACGAGCCCUGGACGUGGGCAGAAGUCCUUACGUGGCUGGGGACUCGGAAGACUGUCCAGGGCUCGGGCUUUCAGAUGCCAAAGUGAGGGAGGCAGAAGCUCUGAGAGACAAAGGAGCCUGGGAGGAGCAGCCAUGGACCACUGGGAGCUGCUUGAACCUAGCAUUUCACAUCUGGGACAGGUCAUCCAACAUCCAACCAUCACGCUACCUCAGUAACAGACUGUGUCUGGCUUGAUAUUACAUAAAGGUUAGAAGGGAUGGGGGAUGAGUCCAUCUGUAAAAAUCUCAAAUCAAAAUUGGAAGUGUAUUUUUUCAAAUCUAAAGUAGGCAAAGUGACUUACGGGGGCCCCCACCAGCUCUUAUAUUCUCAACAUCAUGAGGGCUGGCUGGGAAGACUCACCUGAAUGAUUGAUCUGGGAGGCAGACUCAUCUCCUGGAAUCUGGGUCCCGAUGGCAG